CGGACGGGUGAGUAACACGUGGAUAACCUACCUAUAAGACUGGGAUAACUUCGGGAAACCGGAGCUAAUACCGGAUAAUAUAUUGAACCGCAUGGUUCAAUAGUGAAAGACGGUUUUGCUGUCACUUAUAGAUGGAUCCGCGCCGCAUUAGCUAGUUGGUAAGGUAACGGCUUACCAAGGCAACGAUGCGUAGCCGACCUGAGAGGGUGAUCGGCCACACUGGAACUGAGACACGGUCCANACUCCUACGGGAGGCAGCAGC
rnacentral:rRNA from 1 species